rnacentral:rRNA from 1 species
GUGUCAGCAGCCGCGGUAAUACGUAGGGUGCGAGCGUUAAUCGGAAUUACUGGGCGUAAAGCGUGCGUAGGCGGUUCGCUAAGUCCUGUGUGAAAGCCCCGGGCUCAACUCGGGAACGGCAUGGGAAACUGACGGACUGGAGUGUGGCAGAGGGGGGUGGAAUUCCGCGUGUAGCAGUGAAAUGCGUAGAGAUGCGGAGGAACACCGAUGGCGAAGGCAGCCCCCUGGGCCAACACUGACGCUGAGGGCACGAAAGCGUGGGGAGCAAACAGGAUUAGAUACCCCCGUAGUCC